UACGUAGGGACCGAGCGUUGUCCGGAAUCAUUGGGCGUAAAGAGCUCGUAGGCGGUGUGUCGCGUCGGCCGUGAAAACCUGGGGCUUAACUCUGGGCGUGCGGUCGAUACGGGCAUCACUAGAGUUCGGCAGGGGAGACUGGAAUUCCUGGUGUAGCGGUGAAAUGCGCAGAUAUCAGGAGGAACACCGGUGGCGAAGGCGGGUCUCUGGGCCGAUACUGACGCUGAGGAGCGAAAGCGUGGGGAGCAAACAGG
rnacentral:rRNA from 1 species